CAGCAGCCGCGGUAAUACGAAGGGGGCUAGCGUUGCUCGGAAUUACUGGGCGUAAAGGGCGCGUAGGCGGACAGUUCAGUCGGGGGUGAAAGCCCGGGGCUCAACCUCGGAAUUGCCUUCGAUACUGGCUGUCUUGAGUAUGAGAGAGGUGUGUGGAACUCCGAGUGUAGAGGUGAAAUUCGUAGAUAUUCGGAAGAACACCAGUGGCGAAGGCGACACACUGGCUCAUUACUGACGCUGAGGCGCGAAAGCGUGGGGAGCAAACAGGAUUAGAUACCCGCGUAGUCCCUGUCUCUUAUAC
rnacentral:rRNA from 1 species